rnacentral:rRNA from 1 species
GACGAACGCUGGCGGCGUGCUUAACACAUGCAAGUCGAACGAAGUGGCGAACGGGUGAGUAACGCGUAAUCAACCUGCCAUUCAGAGGGGGCCAACAGUUGGAAACGACUGCUAAUACCGCAUACUGAAGGAGGGGAUUGCGUCUGAUUAGCUAGUUGGAGGGGUAAAGGCCAACCAAGGCGAUGAUCAGUAGCCGGGCUGAGAGGAUGAACGGCCACAUUGGGACUGAGACACGGCCCAGACUCCUACGGGAGGCAGCAGUGGGGAAUCUUCCGCAAUGGACGAAAGUCUGACGGAGUAACGCCGCGUGAGUGAUGACGGCCUUCGGGUUGUAAAGCUCUGUUAAUCGGGACGCGGUACCGGAAUAGAAAGCCACGGCUAACUACGUGCCAGCAGCCGCGGUAAUUC